GUUUUCGUAAAGCUUUAUUUAUAUUUCCUAACGAGAAGUGAUAUUUAGUUACAAACACUAGUGGUAUCUGCUUGUCAGAUUCUUGUUUAAAGCGGAGUAACUCUGGUCGUUCGAUAUUGAGAGCCGAUUCACAGUUACGAAGUAUUUCAAGGUCCUUAUAUCCCCUUUGCUUAAGAUGGCCUUUGAAUUUACAAAGAGUAUCUUUUAAAUUUUGCGUGUUGCUGUUGUUUCGGUGGUGGCGAAUAGCUUCCCCUUUUAUAAAUCCGGAGAAGACGGUUGGAUUAUGCAUAGACGUCCUAUCUAAAUAUUGAAACGUAUUAGUAGGUUUGGUGUAGCUCUUAAUAUCAAGGAUACCGGUGUUCCUGAAUCUCAACCCUUUAUGUACGACUGUAUCGAGAAAGAUAAUUUCUUCGUUU
rnacentral:lncRNA from 1 species